rnacentral:rRNA from 1 species
AAACUUUCAACAACGGAUCUCUUGGCUCUGGCAUCGAUGAAGAACGCAGCGAAAUGCGAUAAGUAAUGUGAAUUGCAGAAUUUAGUGAAUCAUCGAAUCUUUGAACGCACAUUGCGCCCCUUGGUAUUCCGAGGGGCAUGCCUGUUCGAUCGUC